UUAGGCCUACGGGGCGCAGCAGUGGGGAAUAUUGUACAAUGGGCGAAAGCCUGAUGCAGCGACGCCGCGUGAAGGAUGAAGUAUUUCGGUAUGUAAACUUCUAUCAGCAGGGAAGAAAAUGACGGUACCUGACUAAGAAGCCCCGGCUGACUACGUGCCAGCAGCCGCGGUAAUACGUAGGGGGCAAGCGUUAUCCGGAUUUACUGGGUGUAAAGGGAGCGUAGACGGCGAUGCAAGCCAGAUGUGAAAGCCCGGGGCUCAACCCCGGGACUGCAUUUGGAGCUGUGUGGCUGGAGUGUCGGAGG
rnacentral:rRNA from 1 species